AUUGAACGCUGGCGGCAGGCCUAACACAUGCAAGUCGAACGGUAACAGGAAGCAGCUUGCUGCUUUGCUGACGAGUGGCGGACGGGUGAGUAAUGUCUGGGAAACUGCCUGAUGGAGGGGGAUAACUACUGGAAACGGUAGCUAAUACCGCAUAACGUCGCAAGACCAAAGAGGGGGACCUUCGGGCCUCUUGCCAUCGGAUGUGCCCAGAUGGGGUUAGCUAGUAGGUGGGGUAACGGCUCACCUAGGCGACGAUCCCUAGCUGGUCUGAGAGGAUAACCAGCCACACUGGAACUGAGACACGGUCCAGACUCCUACGGGAGGCAGCAGUGGGGAAUAUUGCACAAUGGGCGCAAGCCUGAUGCAGCCAUGCCGCGUGUAUGAAGAAGGCCUUCGGGUUGUAAAGUACUUUCAGCGGGGAGGAAGGGAGUAAAGUUAAUACCUUGGCUCAUUGACGUUACCCGCAGAAGAAGCACCGGCUAACUCCGUG
rnacentral:rRNA from 1 species